UGCCUUUCAGUGGGGGACAACAGUUGGAAACGACUGCUAAUACCGCAUGACACUUCUGAGUGGCAUCACUUAGAAGUCAAAGCUUUAUGUGCUGAAAGAUGGCUUCGCGUCUGAUUAGCUAGUUGGCGGGGUAACGGCCCACCAAGGCGACGAUCAGUAGCCGGUCUGAGAGGAUGAACGGCCACAUUGGGACUGAGAUACGGCCCAGACUCCUACGGGAGGCAGCAGUGGGGAAUAUUGGGCAAUGGGGGAAACCCUGACCCAGCAACGCCGCGUGAAGGAAGAAGGCCUUCGGGUUGUAAACUUCUUUUACCAGGGACGAAGGACGUGACGGUACCUGGAGAAAAAGCAACGGCUAACUACGUGCCAGCAGCCGCGGUAAUACGUAGGUUGCAAGCGUUGUCCGGAUUUACUGGGUGUAAAGGGCGUGUAGGCGGAGGAGCAAGUCAGAUGUGAAAUCCAUGGGCUUAACCCAUGAACUGCAUUUGAAACUGUUCCCCUUGAGUAUCGGAGAGGCAAGCGGAAUUCCUAGUGUAGCGGUGAAAUGCGUAGAUAUUAGGAGGAACACCAGUGGCGAAGGCGGCUUGCUGGACGACAACUGACGCUGAGGCGCGAAAGCGUGGGGAGCAAACAGGAUUAGAUACCCUGGUAGUCCACGCUGUAAACGAUGAAUACUAGGUGUGGGGGGACUGACCCCCUCCGUGCCGCAGUUAACACAAUAAGUAUUCCACCUGGGGAGUACGACCGCAAGGUUGAAACUCAAAGGAAUUGACGGGGGCCCGCACAAGCAGUGGAUUAUGUGGUUUAAUUCGACGCAACGCGAAGAACCUUACCAGGA
rnacentral:rRNA from 1 species